CGAGGGGAGUAGGCAGGGCCUGGGCCUGACUCAGUCUCUGGUGGCUCGUCAGGCCUCCACCAAGCUCUGGGCCUUGUCGGGGGAGGCCUCCAGGCGCUGGUUGCUGGGGGAGCGGUGACGUCGCGGGGUGAAAGUUGAGGGGCGGUGACGUAGAGCCUGCCCGGGCGGAGGCUGGCGGGUUGGAGACUGGAGGGAGGGAGGGAAGGAGGGAAGGAAGGAAGCUGGGAAGGAGCGAGGUAGCGGGGGCGCGAGGCGUUUACCUGGGAGGCAGCGGCUGGGGCGCGCACAGCGGCUGCGGCUCCCCCGCACCUGCGGCCAUGGAUGAAGAGCGCGCCCUCUACAUCGUCCGGGCCGGCGAGGCGGGGGCUAUCGAGCGGGUCCUGAGGGAUUACAGCGACAAGCAUAGGGCUACUUUCAAAUUUGAAACAGCAGAUGAAGAUAAAAGAAAGAAACUCUGUGAAGGAAUCUUUAAGGUCCUUGUAAAGGAUGUCCCAACAACUUGUCAAGUGUCCUGCCUGGAAGUACUCCGCAUUCUCUCCAGAGACAAGAAGAUUUUAGUUCCUGUAACAACUAAGGAAAAUAUGCAGAUACUGCUGAGACUAGCCAAGCUCCACGAGUCAGAUGAGUCUUUGGAGAAGGUGUCAGAGUUCCCAGUUAUUGUGGAGUCAUUGAAAUGUCUGUGUAACAUCGUCUUCAACAGUCAAAUGGCACAGCAGCUUAGCCUGGAACUGAAUCUCGCUGCAAAGCUCUGUAACCUCCUGAGAAAGUGCAAGGACCGAAAAUUUAUCAACGACAUAAAGUGCUUUGACUUGCGCUUGCUCUUUGUCUUGUCACUUUUGCACACUGACAUCAGGUCACAAUUGCGCUAUGAGCUCCAGGGACUACCGCUGCUAACCCAGAUCUUGGAAAGUGCCUUUAGCAUCAAGUGGACCGAUGAGUAUGAGUCGGCCAUAGACCAUAAUGGACCUCCUCUCUCACCUCAGGAGACAGACUGUGCCAUUGAGGCCCUCAAAGCUCUGUUCAAUGUGACAGUAGACAGUUGGAAAGUGCAUAAAGAGAGCGAUUCUCAUCAGUUCCGUGUCAUGGCAGCUGUCCUUCGCCAUUGUUUACUAAUUGUAGGUCCAACUGAAGACAAAACUGAAGAGCUGCACAGUAAUGCCGUCAACCUUUUAAGCAAUGUUCCAGUCUCUUGUUUGGAUGUUCUCAUUUGUCCAUUAACCCAUGAAGAAACAGCCCAAGAGGCAGCAACUCUAGAUGAACUGCCCAGUGAUAAAACAACGGAGAAAGACACAGCUUUGAAAAGCAGCACCAUGGUAUACAAUGGCAUGAAUAUGGAGGCCAUUCACGUUCUACUCAGUUUUAUGGAGAAGAGAAUUGAUAAGGGAAGCAGCUAUAGAGAGGGUCUAACGCCAGUUCUCAGCUUAUUAACAGAAUGUUCCCGAGCCCAUCGAAACAUCCGGAAGUUUCUCAAAGAUCAGGUGUUACCACCUUUGAGGGAUGUGACAAAUCGCCCGGAAGUUGGCUCAACCGUGAGAAAUAAGCUGGUGCGCCUCAUGACACAUGUUGACCUCGGAGUCAAGCAGAUUGCUGCUGAGUUUCUUUUUGUCCUUUGCAAAGAGAGAGUGGAUAGCCUGCUGAAAUACACUGGCUAUGGCAACGCUGCAGGACUGUUGGCGGCCAGGGGCCUCUUGGCUGGAGGAAGAGGAGAUAACUGGUACUCAGAGGACGAGGACACGGACACUGAAGAAUACAAAAAUGCGAAACCAAACAUUAAUCUUAUCACUGGUCAUUUAGAGGAACCAAUGCCAAACCCUAUAGAUGAAAUGACAGAAGAACAAAAAGAAUAUGAAGCCAUGAAACUUGUCAACAUGCUUGAUAAACUUUCCAGGAGAGCAGAUGUGAAGGACCCGCACCAGGAUGGUGGUUAGCAACAGUGCCCCGUGCCAAAGCACUUACCAAAGUGAUGACUAAGACCCUGUCAUUAAUUCCAUGUGUCAAUACUACCCUGUAGUACACAGAGCAGACAACAAAGAAGAGCCCUUGAAAACAAGGGAAUGAUUUUUGAGUCGUUAUCAAGCUAAGUGGCAAGCGGGAAGCUGAAACUCGUAUAGUUGAACAUUCUUGGAGGCUUAUGUCUUCCCUGGCCAGAUGCCUGAUCAGAUGAGAAGCCCGCCAUGAUACUGUCACAGGGCCUAGCAUGGGCUCCUUAUCCAGUAGACACCACUGUACUUUUUGGUGAUAACGGGGCAGUCUUAACUGUGUAAGGCCUGUAUAUAGCAUUGAAGGGAGGAGUUGCUUAAACCAAUGGGACUAAAACCUGAUGGGACAAUAACGCCUUUGGAGGAAGCACUCAGCCAGUAUUCUGUCAUCGAAGAGACCAGCUCGGACACAGACUGAAAGCACCGUCACCUGCUCCACUCCCUCUAUGGCUUUCAUCAGCAUCUUUUCUCUGUAGCUCCAGGGGAAUCUUUUUCUCUAAAACGUUUAUGCCCUUGCUUUGGCUAGAAACACAUUAACUGGUUUACUCAUUGGGAAUCCAGCAUAUUUAAGAGGUAAUCCUGUGUUUUCUGCAACAUGGAGGCAUUCAUACAGAGCUGCAGUUAGGCAGAGCUGCGGGGCUAGAAGCAGCAGCAGCCAUCCCACUGCACCAGACAGAGUACGGGACUUCACUAGGCAAAGCAGCCCUGGUCAAAUCUGGCAGUCUUGUUACCGGGAUUCCUAGCCGAAGAUUCAGCCGUGUCCUUCCACCCACGCGUGUAAACCACCCCUUCUGAGUCUCUCCAGCGCCCCGAGGCACAUGAGUGUCCGAGGAACUGGUAAAUAAGGGCUGAGGCAAGCGAUCCCUCUGAUCAGCACGGACUGAAUGGAAGCCAGGCAGCUGCUCUGUAAGCCUAGCCCCACCCUUCAUUUCAGUUUUAUACAGAUGUGGAAACACACACACACACACACACACACACACUCGGCCCCAGACUUACAAACCUAUUACACUCUAAAAGUUUCUAUGUCACUUAGCUAAAACUUGAGAUUACAUUUCUCCCUAUGAGGAGUUAGAAAUGAUGGUUUAGUUCAGGCAGCUACACGUGCCUAUUUAUCCCUCCUUCCUGAACACUACUAGGACCGUAGGGCUGGACCGCCAUCUGUACUGUCGCAUCCGCAGCAUGCAUUCUGAGCUAUCACUCAGGGUGCCAAGUACACACUCAUCCUCCAGGCAACAGAGAGGAUGGGGCUCCCCCAGUAGUGGGAGUUCUUUUGUGGCCUGUGCUGGGGGUAGGGAGCCAACAGCACCCAUUUGUACAUAAAGGUCAUUCGUAUGUCACAUGUUUUAAACAGGGGUCUCUGUGUGUAUUUGUGUGUGUGUUCUACCUUUCUACCAUAUGUGGUCAGUUUAAUGGUAACUUUAUUUAUUUAAAAAAAGAAACACAAAUAGUUACUAUUAAACUGAUUAAGGCUGUUUAUUUUUACUCUUAGGAAUGGUCAUAUGAAGUAGAUGUGCAAUCAUGUAGACAGCAGGCCAAGGUGACCAGUGGCUAAAGUUGAAAAGGGGUUGGUUUCUUCCAUAUAUGUAUGUGUGUGUAGAUACGCAUACAUAGAUAUAUGCACACAUAGAUUAUGUGCUUGACCACUGCCUUUUAAAACUUUAAAUUAAAUAAAACAUCGGGGAUGAUUGAAUUUA